rnacentral:rRNA from 1 species
AUGAACGCUAGCUACAGGCUUAACACAUGCAAGUCGAGGGGCAGCAUGGUCUUAGCUUGCUAAGACUGAUGGCGACCGGCGCACGGGUGAGUAACACGUAUCCAACCUGCCGUCUACUCUUGGACAGCCUUCUGAAAGGAAGAUUAAUACAAGAUGGCAUCAUGAGUCCGCAUGUUCACAUGAUUAAAGGUAUUCCGGUAGACGAUGGGGAUGCGUUCCAUUAGAUAGUAGGCGGGGUAACGGCCCACCUAGUCUUCGAUGGAUAGGGGUUCUGAGAGGAAGGUCCCCCACAUUGGAACUGAGACACGGUCCAAACUCCUACGGGAGGCAGCAGUGAGGAAUAUUGGUCAAUGGGCGAGAGCCUGAACCAGCCAAGUAGCGUGAAGGAUGACUGCCCUAUGGGUUGUAAACUUCUUUUAUAAAGGAAUAAAGUCGGGUAUGGAUACCCGUUUGCAUGUACUUUAUGAAUAAGGAUCGGCUAACUCCGUGCCAGCAGCCGCGGUAAUACGGAGGAUCCGAGCGUUAUCCGGAUUUAUUGGGUUUAAAGGGAGCGUAGAUGGAUGUUUAAGUCAGUUGUGAAAGUUUGCGGCUCAACCGUAAAAUUGCAGUUGAUACUGGAUAUCUUGAGUGCAGUUGAGGCAGGCGGAAUUCGUGGUGUAGCGGUGAAAUGCUUAGAUAUCACGAAGAACUCCGAUUGCGAAGGCAGCCUGCUAAGCUGCAACUGACAUUGAGGCUCGAAAGUGUGGGUAUCAAACAGGAUUAGAUACCCUGGUAGUCCACACGGUAAACGAUGAAUACUCGCUGUUUGCGAUAUACAGCAAGCGGCCAAGCGAAAGCGUUAAGUAUUCCACCUGGGGAGUACGCCGGCAACGGUGAAACUCAAAGGAAUUGACGGGGGCCCGCACAAGCGGAGGAACAUGUGGUUUAAUUCGAUGAUACGCGAGGAACCUUACCCGGGCUUAAAUUGCAGAUGAAUUACGGUGAAAGCCGUAAGCCGCAAGGCAUCUGUGAAGGUGCUGCAUGGUUGUCGUCAGCUCGUGCCGUGAGGUGUCGGCUUAAGUGCCAUAACGAGCGCAACCCUUGUUGUCAGUUACUAACAGGUUCCGCUGAGGACUCUGACAAGACUGCCAUCGUAAGAUGUGAGGAAGGUGGGGAUGACGUCAAAUCAGCACGGCCCUUACGUCCGGGGCUACACACGUGUUACAAUGGGGGGUACAGAGGGCCGCUACCACGCGAGUGGAUGCCAAUCCCAAAAACCUCUCUCAGUUCGGACUGGAGUCUGCAACCCGACUCCACGAAGCUGGAUUCGCUAGUAAUCGCGCAUCAGCCACGGCGCGGUGAAUACGUUCCCGGGCCUUGUACACACCGCCCGUCAAGCCACGGGAGCUGGGGGUACCUGAAGUGCGUAACCGCGAGGAGCGCCCUAGGGUAAAACUGGUGACUGGGGCU